rnacentral:rRNA from 1 species
AUUGAACGCUGGGCGGCAGUGCCUUACACAUGCAAGUCGAACGGCAGCACGGGGCAACCUGGUGGCGAGUGGCGAACGGGUGAGUAAUGCAUCGGAACGUACCCGGAAGGUGGGGGAUAACGUAGACGAAAGUUACGCUAAUACCGCAUAUUCUGUGAGCAGGAAAGAGGGGGACCUUCGGGCCUCUCGCUUUCGGAGCGGCCGAUGUCAGAUUAGCUAGUUGGUGAGGUAAAGGCUCACCAAGGCGACGAUCUGUAGCGGGUCUGAGAGGAUGAUCCGCCACACUGGGACUGAGACACGGCCCAGACUCCUACGGGAGGCAGCAGUGGGGAAUUUUGGACAAUGGGCGCAAGCCUGAUCCAGCCAUGCCGCGUGAGUGAAGAAGGCCUUCGGGUUGUAAAGCUCUUUCGGCCGGGAAGAAAUCGCACAGGCUAAUAACCUGUGUGGAUGACGGUACCGGAAUAAGAAGCACCGGCUAACUACGUG